rnacentral:rRNA from 1 species
UGCCAGCAGCCGCGGUAACACGGGGGGCGCAAGCGUUAUCCGGAUUCAUUGGGUUUAAAGGGUGCGUAGGCGGGAUGCUAAGUCAGUGGUGAAAGCCCACAGCUCAACUGUGGAACUGCCAUUGAUACUGGUAACCUAGAGUAUGAUUGAAGUGAGCGGAAUAUGGCAUGUAGCGGUGAAAUGCAUAGAGAUGCCAUAGAACACCGAUAGCGAAGGCAGUUCACUAAGUCAUAACUGACGCUGAUACACGAAAGCGUGGGUAGCGAACAGGAUUAGAUA